CACCAUUUUGGUUGGUACCGGACGCUUUGUCUGGUAUUUAGGGGAGCGAGUCGUUCGUCAGCAUAGCGGCGAUCGUUUUGUGGUGCCCUCAUCUCCACCAGAGUCGAUGCUGGACUCACGCUUGAUCAGAGAGUUGAUCAACAGGGGAGAGCGCUAUACUUUUCCAUGGCAGGAGCUUGUACACAUGGGGAGUGACUAUGCGCGGGAUUUGCUUCCCUCUCUGGCUCCUCCACCCCGUCUUCCUGAGACGACUAUUCGCCCUAUGGGGAGGAUCGAGAUUCCUCCUCAGUCUGUCCGCUAUCCAGGGCCGAUUGGUAUCACCGAGGACCUUAUUGCUGAUGCGCCAGAGGGUUACAGACAGGCGUAGGAGUCUCUGCCUGAGGUCUUUGAGCCGCCUAACCGCCCGGAGAUGAUGGGACUCAUGAAGCUGGCUGACGCCCUGAAGUAUUCCAUCAUCAAGCUUCGGCGUGGUGCGAGUUGUCGGAGCUCUAGCGACGUUCUUGAGGUAUCAUUCAUUUUUUUAC